GUGCAGCCCCACUGCUGCUGCCGCUGACCCCAAACCACGGCCGGAGAUGGCUCAGCGCGUUGGUGCCAGCACUACUCAUUAACUGGGAUUUGCGUCAUGGGAAGACGCUGGAGACAGCCCUCAAAGCUACCGUGGACUGACGCUGGUGCUGACCUUCCUCUCCUACACCAGCUACCACCUCUCCCGAAAACCCAUCAGCAUCGUCAAGAUCAGGACAACUACAAGGAGCUUUUCGGCGCUCUGGACAAUGCCUUCCUUGUCGCGUACGCCAUCGGGAUGUUCAUCAGUGGCAUUUUUGGGGAGCGGCUGCCGCUGCGGUACUACCUGUCAGGGGGCAUGCUGCUGAGCGGGAUCUUCACAGCACUCUUUGGCUUUGGCUACUUCUUGAAUAUCCACGUCCUAUGGUACUACAUCAUUGUGCAGGUGUGCAAUGGGCUGGCACAGACGACCGGCUGGCCCUCAGUCGUGGCAUGUGUUGGAAACUGGUUUGGGAAGGGAAAGAGGGGUCUGAUCAUGGGCAUCUGGAACUCACACACCUCCGUGGGCAAUAUCCUGGGCUCUCUCAUUGCGGGCGCCUGGGUGUCCUCUGAGUGGGGUUUGUCCUUCAUUGUGCCGGGCAUAAUCAUCGCCGCUGUGGGCAUUGUCUGCUUCUUCUUCCUUGUGGAGCAUCCCGAGGAUGUCGGCUGCAACCCACCCCUGCAACAUGAUGCAUCAGAUGAGAAGGAUCCCGAAGGGGUGACCUCUGAGGACCGCAGCAGCACUGACCCCAAAGAGCCGGCUGAGGAGCUCGAAGCCAUCAGCUUCCUCGGGGCGCUCCGGAUCCCUGGUGUGGUGGAGUUCUCCCUCUGCCUACUCUUUGCCAAGCUGGUGAGCUACACCUUCCUCUACUGGCUGCCCCUCUACAUCGUGAAUGUUGCUCAUUUUGGUGCCAAGGAAGCUGGAGACCUGUCCACCCUCUUCGACGUUGGUGGUAUUUUAGGGGGGAUCUUUGCCGGCCUCAUCUCUGACUACACUGGCGGCCGGGCCACCACGUGCUGCGUGAUGCUGGUGGUGGCCGCUCCCAUGCUGUUCCUGUACAACCACGUUGGGCAGAAUGGCAUUGGCACAUCUAUAGCAAUGCUGAUCGUCUGCGGUGCGCUGGUGAACGGCCCCUAUGCACUCAUCACCACGGCAGUGUCAGCAGAUUUGGGAACCCAUGAGUCCCUCAAAGGAAACGCGAGAGCCCUGUCCACCGUCACGGCCAUCAUCGACGGCACGGGAUCUGUAGGUGCUGCUCUGGGGCCUCUGCUGGCAGGGCUCAUCUCCCCCACGGGCUGGAAUAACGUAUUCUACAUGCUGAUAGCAGCUGACGUCUUGGCUUGCCUGCUCCUUGCUCGUGUGGUGGUCAAAGAGGUGCGCGCGUGGUAUGGCUGCAUGGCGAGGAAGAGAGGCUCUAGUGUGCAGCUCACAGAGUCAGUGCUGGAUGGGAAGUAGCUCGGUGUGAGUACCUCCGGCUGCACCCGCUUUAGCACCAGCACUGAAUGCAAACACUGAUUGGCCCCACUGCUUGGCGGGGUCACCAGCAGCCACACCCCAGCUGGAGGUGUCCCUGCUCGCUGCAGGGCGUUGGACCUGAUGGCCUUUAAGGGUCCCUUCCAACUCAAACCAUUCUGUGAUUCAAUGAUUGCCAAUAAUGCCACGGCCAACCCAAAGGAUCCUACCCCAGCGAGCAGGGCGCGCUGCAGGCAGGCACGCAGCACAUCCCCAUCCCCGAUGCCUCGGGACACAAAGCACCGAUUAAUUCCAAACGGCCAAAUUUAGAGGCUGCCCACCUGCGCUAAUGAGCAGAUCACGCGGGUCAUCAGCUGCUAAUCAGCCCACGGCCUGAUUGCUGCGGGCACGGUGCACCCAAAUCGCCUCCAAAUCAGCGCCGGGCAACCCCCGCGGUGCGCCGCCCAACACGCGCUCCUCCGUCUUGUGCCCGCAGGUGAGGAGCGGCAGCGGUCCGCGCGGCGGUUCGAGCGGUUCUGACGUGCCCUCGCCAGCCGUCCCGCGCUGCCGAAGGGUGAAGGGGCGCGGCCGCCGUGCCGCCAUGUCUGACACCGUGCCGGGCAGGCCCCGCCAUCUUGUGUCGGUGGGAGGAGGAGGCCAGGAGCCAGCGGACAGUUUGGGGCCGGUUCUGCGCCAUCGGCUGUUUUAUUAAUAAAAAGGUGCAAAGCC